AGCAAAGACAAAGCUGAAAUAAACUGAAUAAUAAAAUAAAGUAAAAUAAAAUAAAAUAAAAUAAAAUAAAAUGAAUAAAAUAAAAAAAAAUCUGAUUGAAUUGGAAUGUGCUUGUUAGUCUAAAUACAUAAAGAGCAUCACACUCUACAAGUAUGUGAAAGGAGAUUGUGGUGAGAUGGGAGUCGGCCUAUUCUCCCAGGUAACAGCAAUAGGAAUGGACUCAAGUUGCAUGAAGAGAGGUUCAGGUUGGAUAUCAGGAAGAAUUUCUUUUUAGAAAGAGUGGUGAGGUAUUGAACAGGCUGCCCAGGGAGGUGGGGAAGACAUCGUCCCUGGCUGUGUUUAAGGAAAGUGUAGAGGUAGUACUUAGGGACAUGGAUUAGUGGGCAAUAUUGGUGGUAAAUGAAUGAUUGGACUAGGUGAUAUUGAAGAUCUCUUCCAACCUUAAUGAUUCUACGAUUCAAUGAUUUACAGGUCCUUGUGAGAGCCCUUCUUUGUCUUCUGUCUCAAAGCUUGCUUCCUGAGGUAUUCCUUGUGAUAAGACUCUUAACUGAUUUAUGGAGGUGGCAAAUGAUGGGUGCUACCGUGUGACAAUCAACAUCACUUUGACAUUUGAAAGCACCUUCCUCCAGAGCUGCUUGCCUCCGGAAGAGAGUGCUCAGGAGUGGUUACUGGCGGAAGAUCUGGCCUAAUAGCCCCAGCUUGGUGUGGGAAAACUGGGGAACAAUACCAUCGUGCCCUGUGAGAAACAGGAUGCAGAUGGGCAUCCCUGCUUCCUCUUAUCUGUUGGCAAGGCCCGGAAGAUGAUAACAAAGGAAUUUCUGCUGAGAUCCCAGAGCCAGUAGCUGCCACUCCAAGGAGAGCUGACUCAACCAAUUUGGACUUACAAAUAAGUUUGUACUGCCAUCGUUGUCGUGUUCGCUGCUGUGGUCACCACUGUCAACAAAAGACUCGACGACCCACCACUACUGAAAAUCAAUGACUGAACUACGAACCACGUUGGACUAUGGUGAAAGUGAAAAGCAGCAAGUGAAACAAUGCAUUGUACAAAAGAAGCUACUGAGACAAACAUUUAAGAUCUUAUCAAACACAGAUCUAAGGCUUAUUCUCGGUGAUGCAUUGAGACUACAAGCAGUGACAGAGACUGAACUAGGCUGACCACUGUUCUGGAGCCUACAGUGAGGAUCCACAGCAAAGAUGUGGAGCUUGCAAAUCACAUGGACACAGAGAGACUUCUGUGAGAAAUUGAACAGAUCAGUCAAAUUCCAGAGAUUAUGGAAAGAGUCUUAAUACAGAGAGG
rnacentral:lncRNA from 1 species